CCAAGAUCAACGUCCGUGGCCAUAUUUGGGCGAACUCUUUUCUUUUGUCGGAGUGAAAGUUCCUUCCUACCGGAUGAAGUGCCUCUUAUGCCGACCGAAAGCUACGGAGAUAUGGCCUUCAACAACUCACCAACCUCAGGAAACACAUUGAGGAAUGGACUACAUCAAGCAGCACAUGGAAGAACCCUCCCUGCAGCUAUGUGAUGCCACCAGGUCCAGUUCAUCUGAUGAAGAGGACUUCUUCUUCGUCAUCUCAAGCGCAUGACAGCAGCAAACAGCUGGAUGGAGACGUGGAUCACGUUGACUUGCUGAAAUGCUUCCCAACUGUGUGCUGCUGUCUGUGAAGCUAGACACACUCUACCUGCACCAUCAGGGCCUGUGAAGCUAGACACACUCUAACUGCACCAGGUGAACGGCUCUUCAGCAUCGCAGGACUCGUCUUCAGCCCCAGAAGAGCGACACUGAAAUCUGUCCAUUUUGAAAAUCAACUUCUUUUGAAGAUGAACAAUACAUUUUUCACUUUAAAGUGAUGAUUCUGGUUGUUACUUUUGGUUCUGAUUUUUUUCUGUGUUAAUCGUGUUUUUAUAUUUUAGUAAUUUCAUAGUAUUCAUAUAUUGCUAAGUUCAUCCGAGCUCAUACUCCUUGUUCAUGGCGGCCACAGCACCCAAACAAAUAAACUUCAUAAUUCUCAAAAUUC